GAGAGAAGAUGGAGGUGGAUGUUAAGAUUCCUCUCUACACAUUUACAGGUGACUGUAGUGUGUGUCAUAUUGUCAACUGAUGCUAACUAUGACAGUUGGUAAAUAAACUGAGCCCCAGAGACUGUUUCAAGCAUGCCAAAGACCACUCGUCCCGAGGGUGAUUCAGCCUGCUAGUCCAUGACCACUCUCACUCCUUGCAGAAGUAGAUCACUACUUCUUAGGAGUCUCUCAUGGAAGCUGCUUUCGUGAUAAUAAACAUAUGUAAAAAGGAGAAAAAUAAAAUGUGCCUAUUUGAAAGAUAA
rnacentral:lncRNA from 1 species